rnacentral:tRNA from 1 species
AUAUGAAAAAGUGUCUUAGCACAUGGGCCUUUGAUCCCCAUAGAUGAAAUUAAUAUUUCAUUUCAUAA